AUGCACAAUCGACACAACAUAUUCCGAUGAUGGAGUGUACUGGUGUGAGUCUAUGUCAAAAGAGUUCAGCAAUGCAGUCAACAUCACUAUACAAGAUUUUUAUUCUGGUCCUAUCAUGGUGAUCCCUGAUGAUCCUGUGAAAACGGGAACUUUCGUUAGUCUUAGCUGCAAGUUGAGAAGAAAAAAAAUCUUUCCCAGUGUGGCUUUUUACCACAAUAACAAACUUAUCCAAAAUGACUCCCGAGAGGACCUGAACUUCUUGGCAGUGUCAAACUCUGAUGAAGGUUCCUACAAGUGUCAGUACUCAGGAAAAGAGUCGCCAUCGCGUUACAUGUCGGUUAAGUCUGCUGCUGGACCUGAAAGCUCUGCAUUUCCUGUCACAGCCAGAAUGAAAGUCGUGAAUGCAGUCGCCUUCAUCCUGGUAAUGCUGCUGUCUAUGAAUCAGUAACACAAAUUGAAGAAACCAGAGGAGGUCAGUGAGGAGAGCUGUAGCAGCAAAAGAAAAAAGAAGCAUUUUGUUUUCCUACUGUUGCUCCUCUGCCACACAAAUAGCAGACAUUUUUCACUUAGUUUGUUUGAAGAUAAUACAACUAAAUACAGACUUGAUAGUCUGUUUCAGCACAAAUAAAACAAGAAAUUAAUUAUCAGGCUCUAUAAUAACUACUUUUUUUGCAUUUUAAAAAUAAUUAUUAAAAAAUAAUCAUUUGUAGUAAGAAAAAUCUGAAAUAUGUGAUCUUGAGUGACUGAUUAUGCAUCUUUAUAUAAUGCAGUUCUGAAUAAUCUCUGUAUAAAUUGUGUUAUAGAGGGUAGUAGCAUGCAAUAUGAAAAAUUUCCUGUGUCUGUCCUUAUGACAGCAGAGCUGAAAAUCUAUUGACGGUACAGUAAGUGGUGGAGGAUUAUCCAUGAUGAUUACAGUUUAUUACUAUGUUCCAUAUUUGAUUUUCUGCCUUUCUGGACCAAAUAAAUGUUUAAAACAAA
ensembl:lncRNA